rnacentral:lncRNA from 1 species
UUCUGGUUGUCUUCCAUUUAGUUGACGGCAUGCAAGACUGAUCUGAUGCAUCUACUGCUUGUUGACUUGGUUAUAUUUAUCUAUAAAGGUAAUUUCAGUGUUUCAUUUGUGUGAACAUUUCUUUUGUUACAGAUUUUACCUGCUUGACGAAGUGCAAAAAAGUAAAAUGUAUCAUUUAUAUAGCUAACUGGAAUAAAGAGUAGCAUCGUCUCUCAACAAGAUAUUUUGUGUGUUCCGCGCCAAAUUUGAGUGAUACUUUUAUGAGCGCCUGGCGAGGUUCUCAGCAAGUUUAGUUUAGGCAUAAUUUUCCUCUAUUAAACAGUGCAUUUUAGACAGUGAAACUGUUCCAAAUUAUCCCAUGCUGUAGUUGAAAUGGUGCAUCUGCGUUAUAUAUUUUGGGAAGAGCUGCAGUUCAUGAUCUUUCUUUAUAAUAAUCAUACCAAUCAGUCAAGAUAGUGUGCAGACUUUCUGCCUAUUUUUCUUUCUUCAGGCAGGAAACACAUGUUAAUUUCUUGACCACCUCCAGUGAUCCAAUGUCAGAUUAAGUGUUUUAAUAUUUUUGCUCAUGCUUAUUCCCGGAUGGCCGGAACCACAGCUCAAUGGAAUGAGUUGUACAACUUUUAUUCAACACAUUAUAUAUACAAGUAUACUGAUAUUUUAUGGUGAUGUUAUACUAUGAAUUAAUGGUUAAGAUAACACUUUUUUAUAUAUGAUUUUCCUCAUAUUGCCAACAUAUUUUUGGUUGCGGGUUGAUACAUAACAUUAUUUUGUCUUAUCUUCUUAUGUUGUAUCUAUUUUUCAUGUAGAUACUCUAUCUGGUAAGGUUCUAAUUCACAUGGUUGCAUGGCCAAUGAAUGAAUAUAAUUAGUUUUCACAAUGUAUAUUUUACAAUUUCUCAAUGCGUAAACGUGCCAGGCUCUUAGGUUAAAGCUAAUGCCCAUUAAAAUGGUUAUAAAUAGUGGCCUAUAUCAGUAGGCUGGGUCUCAAUGUUGGUUUUGAUAUGUGAUCGAUGCAUUUCAUCAAAUGGUUAACAUAUCAGGAUUGUAUAUGAUUAUCUUUGAGUGGAAUUUGUGUCUUUGAUUUUUCACAAAUUUGUUUUGAUAUUUGCGAUAAGGUGGGUGUUGUGUGUUGUGUGCAGGCCAUGGGUAAUUUUGUACUAUUUGUUCAAGGUGUCAGCAUAUGUAUAUUAUUCUUAUAGUCUUUACAUGCUCAUUUAGUUCAUUCAUGUUUCUUUUGCAGUGGCAGUGGUGCAGAAUAUAUCCUCUGCCAUGGAAGGAGGUAUUUGAUGCUGUCAGAUGGCAUAUAGGUCAAUAAUGAGGUGACUGCCGGGGUAAUCUCAGGAAGGGACAACGACACAAAUUAACUUUGUUGACAAGCUCACGAUCACGGGUAAUAAAGAUGAUUUUAAGUAAUGUUCUAAUUUCUGUGAAUUUCCUUGUUAAAUGUCCUGAAAGAAAUAAGAAUGGCAUACUGAAUGCGAAGCAUUAUUUCAUUCAUCUACAUUUUUAGGAAAGAUAAUCUUGGAUUGCUUUUGCUUUGAUGGAUUCUCACUUAUCAGAAUAUAGCCUCCAGCCUUUACACAUAGAGACUGAUUUAUCACUUUGGCUGGUUAUAUUUUUCUCUGCUGCAUAAUGACCUAUGUACAUUCAUUUCCUCUAUAGUUUUAAUUCUACACCUUAUUUCUUAUUAUGGCGAAUCAUUGGUAUCACGGAAAUGUUACUGUACCAUUAUGUGCAAUUGUUUCUUAUUGAUAUCAUCGUAACAAGAUGGUGAACUUAUCAAAUGUAGGGAACAAGCCGUCCUGCAGUGUUUCCAUGUACUGCAAGUUGACGACAAGUUCAUUGUUGACGCCAUGCAAUUUCUUACAAAAUACAUGUGGUACAGGUAAGCAUGCUAUUACCCGCCAUCGUGUGUGUUUUGCAUAUUUUUCUAUUCAAUACUAUGAAGUUUUCCUCUGUUAUGCUCUUCUCAGGUAUGAAGGCCGACACUGAUUAUCAAGUGGUAUGGCACUCUUCUUUAUCAGCUCUAUCCCAUCCUGUAGAGGCUUUGUGAAAAUAACUCCAUGUUAUCUUCUACAUAAUUUUGCAUUUCUUUGCAGAGAUAAGAUGUGAAUUUAUGGUAUAAGUUUCAAAAGUUUGGCAGAAUCCUUGAUCUAAAGUGAAAUAGAGUUGUAUUGUCUCCUAUAUGAGUUAAAACUUCUUGCAAUCAGUAAUUAGCCAUGCAUUUUGAGGGUAUGAAAGUUGAACAAAAUUUGAGUUUCUUGGUUGCAUGUUACAGAGUGUUGUACUAAACAAAGAUGAGUUGCAAUGAGUU